rnacentral:sRNA from 1 species
UCUGGAACUCAGUGCAUAAGCGGGAUGUCAACCGUUCUGAGAGGCGAAAGCUUCCGAUAUGUCAGCAGUCGGAACGCCUGCAUUGGGGAAAAACCAUGAGGAUACCCAUGGCAGUGCCCUGCGGAGCAGACGCGAGAAUGCUCCGGAAUGCCAGAUGGCAGAAAGUGCGCAGCUGUGCCGGAGGGAUGCAGAUCAAAAGUACAGCGUUUGCCGCCGGAACAACAGACGCCCUUCGAAAAAAGGGAAUAACCCGGAAUACCGCGGAGUGGUAGCCGCAGGAGAGCAGAAACUGAGGCAGCAGUUUUUCUUUCCGGGGGGACGAAACAAUCCGGUUUCCAGUGAAGGCCUGAAAAGGCUGUAUAAGACAACGCGCUGAUCCGAGUAGCAGAAAGUGGAGAAACAAAAUCUGCAGGCUGGCACGUGGACAGAGAGAGACAACUAUUAGUACGAGUUGUGAAAACUGACAACGCCGGAAGAACUGUGAAAGGUGAAGGUAACCAUUCCUUCAGGGGCCAGGCAGCGAAAGCUGCGGGAUACGCGGACGGGAGUCGCUUCCUGUCGGCCGGCCGUAUCUCUCCCUUGACUGAAUAAAAGAUCUGAAGUCCUGGUCGGUACCGUGAAAGC